UAGGGAAUCUUCGGCAAUGGGGGCAAACCCUGACCGAGCAACGCCGCGUGAGUGAAGAAGGUUUUCGGGUCGUAAAGCUCUGUUGUAAGAGAAGAACGUGUGUGAGAGUGGAAAGUUCACACAGUGACGGUAACUUACCAGAAAGGGACGGCUAACUACGUGCCUG
rnacentral:rRNA from 1 species